UCAAUUUAUAAUUUUAUUUUUAGUAUAAGAGUUUAUUAAUUAAUAUUAAUAUAAUAUUUUUAUAUAUGUGCUAGUUAUCUGCAAAAGUUUUAUGGAUUUAUAUUAAUUAUGAAAAAUAUAAGGAUCAUAGUGUAAAUUAUAAAUAAUUUUGAAGUUAAAUUUGAAGUUUUGCUUUUGAAGAAGAUCAUUUUGAAACUUCAAAUAUAGAAUUUGCAAAACUCUAUACUAGAGACUCUUUUUGGAGACGCUGUUAUUCCAUAUUACCAGCAAAAAAAAAAACAGUGUUCUUAUUUCUUAGGAUUCUUGAAAUCUUUAAUUCAUGUGCUUCGAUAUUCAUUUGAUUUUUCAUUUCUUUAUGCUCAUUGUCCACACCAAAAAAGCUCGUUGGCUUUUACAUCAUGUUCCUGCUUUUUUUCGCUGUACACUCGCCCCCGCACAGCCACACACACAAGUCAACCCCAGUUUUUUUAAAUCCAAAUUCUUUGUCAACAAAAAGAAAAAUCUAUACUCUACUCUACCUUAGACAUAACUUUAAAUGUACGGAAAAGUUUAAGAUGUCUUAGAUGGAGUGAAAUCGGGAUUUUAAUUUGAACGUUUGUAGUUGUGUAUAAAUGUGAAGGCAUUACUACGUGUUCAAUUUAUUAUGAAUGUAAAAGUAAACUGCAUGAUGAUAAAUGACCUCGCGUUUCUAGACACAACAAAAGUUGUGAAAAAGAAACGAUUUACAAAGUCCGAACAAAAUCAUUAAUAGAUGUUGCAUACGUUUGCUUGCCUUUUAGACAAAGGCGUGAAAGUCCAUUAAGCCACACAUGGGAAACAAACUCACUACACGCCUCGGCUUUCGCAAGCGUCACGCUUUUUACGUCAAAUACUUUAAUUUUUGGCUAAAGCGAGGAGCCAAAGAUGAAGUAAAAACCAAUAAAUGAAAUAAACUUGCCACGUGAUAGCAAAAAAAUCUCCGUUGCCGGGACUCGAACCCGGGUCUCUCAGGUGAGAGCCGAGUAUCCUGACCAGCUAGACUACAACGGAUUCGUGAUUGUUAGCCUGAAUGAAACUUUAAUAGAAACAUCCUAAAGAAGUCACUUGUACAUAUUGAUAGCAAUUCUUGUGGACCUAAUAUUUAUUUGUAAUAUAUAGUCUCUGGUAAGUCACUUAAGGUUUCAGCAUCAGAUAACUCUCCCAACAUUGCCAAAACAAGUGAUGUCUUACCUUCUAUACUACCUACAAUGGCAACCAAGCUUCCACCUGUUAUCUCCAAAUUGAUAUUUGGCUUUAUUUUCUAAGAGAUAUAUAUUAGAGUUUAUAACAUAUAUAGACACUUGUUGAGUUUUUAUUACAAAGAAGAGCAGUUGUUGCUACUAGGACACUUUAUGUUGGUGAAAGUCUUCUUUGUCCUUCAAAAAGGCAAACCAGGUGUGGGCAUAUUUGUAAUAGAUCAUUUGUUUCUGGUUAUUCUGGUUCGUAGAUUUAAAAUUCAAAACCGAUGGAAAUUGAUUGGUGGAACCUUGGAGCAUAUUUUAAUUUAGUUAAUUUUCUGAGAUUGGGCCCGUAAAAAAGUAAAACUAUAAUAUUUUGUUUCAACUUUCCCAAAUCUGUAAACCUAAUUUUACUUUCCGGCGACGAGUGACGGAGCAGAGACGACGGUGUACAUCGACGGAGAACAAAAGGCUAUAACGAUCAAGCAUAAGCGGUGUGGCAAAGACACAGACGACAGGACGAUGAGAAAUAAGCGGACAUAAAUGGGGGGGAGACAAAGGUUAAAUCUUUUUCUCGUUUCGAAGGCGUUCGGGUUUAAGUUUCAGAUUAAGUGAAGAGAUGGAGACGAUGAGUUUCAGUUGUACCGGUGUGGCUUAGGCGUUUAGGGGGGACUUUUGAAGCUAUACCGGUGUGGCUUAGGCGUUUAGGGGGGACGACGAGCUGAAGCAGCUGAGUUAUGUCAAUGAGAAGCUCCCACAACACACAAGGUUGGCGGAGGUGCAAGAGGCUGAGCAUGAUCCUCAGGUAACUAUUUAUACACUUGUACAAACGUUUAAGGUUGUACACGUAACAUGUGAUGUACAUGUGUAUAACAAGAACAUAUGUCUACAUGUGUACUUUGCAUACUAUGCUUAUAUGGUUUGCGGUUGAGUUGUAUAUUGAUUUUACUUUGGUUCGCCGUGUUUUAAUGUUUGCUACUGACUGUGCAACCUAUGGUUGGUUUUGGCGGAGGUGUAAGAGGCUGAGCGUGAUCCACAGGUAACUAUUUGUACACAUGCAUGAACAUUUAAAGUGGUACACCUUACAUGCGAUGUACAUGUGUACAACAAGAAUAUAUGUGUACAUGUGUACUUUGCAUAAUGCUUAUAUGGUUUGCGGUUAAAGUGUGUAUUGAUUUUGCUUUGGUUUACCGUGUUUCUAUGUUUGCUGCUGACUGUGUAACCUAUGGUAGAGUGUAGGGAGGACAAGGAGGAUGGCUGGGGGGAAUUUGACAGUGAAUAUUUUGAUCAUAAAGUUGCCAACAUGGUUGAGCUUCUGAAGGAUGAGCACAAAUUCAGAAACACAUAAGUGAAGAGGCGGUGAUGCAUGUGUGUCUAUAUAGAUGUGUACAAGCAAGUGUGUGCAUGUGUACAAGCAAAUGUGUACAUGUGUACAAGUGUACAACACCGAGUGCUUACACGUGUACAAGCGAGUACAUGUACAAUUUAUGGCAUGUACAUAAGUAGUUUAUUUUUGACAUGUUUGUUGGUGUUUAAGGAUGAAUAUUUUUAGAUGCUUUGGGCAUAUAAUGUAAAGUAUCAAGAUGAUUGUUGAUUCUAAGUAAAACUUUUCGCAUUGAUAUGUA